UUUGAAUUUAUAAAAUAUUUUGUUCGUUUCGUCAGAGAAAAAUGCAAGAAGCUUCUGGAUUGAGGUAGAAAUUAGAAAAGAACUUUCUUUGAAUCUUCACGUGAAUAUUGAAAAGGAAAGGCGCAACAUGUAAAUAAAAAAAAAAUUGUUGUUUUUCGAGAGGUGCAAAGGAAAAUCGAGAAAAUUUUUUGGUUUGUUAUUGUGCACUGAAUGCAAUCAUUGGAAAGAAAUGUCAAUAAAAUUUAAUGAAGUUGGUAGAGGUUUAUUGAAAAUAGGGGAAAAGAAG